rnacentral:lncRNA from 1 species
UCCUUGCACUUGCCGCUUGGAACAUGGCGGAUACACAUGUCCAUAGUUGGAAGUACUUUGGUUAAAGCUAACCUUAUCUGAAUCUGAUUGAACCAACACAAAGGUUAGAGACUUAGAGUGAUCACAACAGAAUUUAAUAAUACUUUGGCGCAGGUUGUUUAAUAUAUUUUGUAUUACCACUAUGGCCAACAGUUUUGAACAUAUUAUUAUUAUAUAGUAACACAGGAUGAAAUCAAAGCUUGAGGUUCCUGUUUCAAAGCACACAGACAUAAAAAAAAACACUAUUAUAUUGUUUUGAUUUAAUGAUUUUGACACUCUCCUUAUCUGAACUACCUCUAUCUAUCUUCUUCUUCUUAUGUUAUAUAUAAAGCAUUAACCUCACUGAGAAUUUAACAAGAUAUAAAGUAGAGCAACAUCAAAGUUGAAAAACCAAACAUCAUCAAUUCCUUUUAAUUUGAAGAAGUUGCUUUGAGUUAUGUCUGGCCUUGUGGACAGGUGGACAAGUGAGCUGGCCAAGCUUCAGCAAAAGGGUGACACUGAAAAUGACACUAAAAGCAACAAUUCCAGUCACCAACAACAAGUGUUCCAAGAAAAGGAGAAUAAGAGUUCAAGUGAUCAUGGCAAAUUCAUUCAUGUUAACAAGCCUAGGUUCAUGUUUUCUGAGGCUUCACUUUCCAUGUUUGUUGAAUGCUUUAGCCCUUGAACACUACUGAACAUCUAUCAUCUUAACUUGUUUUUGUAUGAGAAUAUAAUAUCUGUAUUUAUUUCCAAUAAAGGUCCUGUGUUAGUUCAUAGUUAUGUAUAUAUUAAUGAUAAUAAUAAUAUAUUAGCUUUUGGUGUUUCUUGCAUGUUAUGUUCUUAUUAUAAUUGCCAAGUUUAAUUUUCCCAAUUGCAUAGCAAGUUGCUAACUGAUAAUUACUUAAGAGAAUUGGCAUGACUUGCCACUAUGUUGAAAGCUUCAAAGGUGUUCACUAUCAAAGACUUUUUUUUUUCUCAACCAGUACAAAUUUUCAUAGAAGGUUACAUACACUGUACUUGGUGCACCUAUUGAAUGUAAUUUAGUACUUUCAAGUUUCAAUAAUAAAAAAAGUAGACUUAAUUUGAAGAAGGGUGUAAAACUGGCUGAAGGUGCACACAAUACAGUAUUUGAACCAUUGAUGAAAUUAAAAGAUUCACAAUGAUGGAUUAUUAUUAAUUAAUUAGUUUUAAUCUUAUUGAAUUAUCUUUUUAAC